rnacentral:rRNA from 1 species
UACAGAGGUCCCAAGCGUUACUGAGAAUCACUGGGUUUAAAGGGUGCGUAGGUGGUCCGUUAAGUCAGUUGUGAAAUCCCCGGGCUCAACCCGGGAACUGCUUCUGAUACUGGCGGACUUGAGGCCAGUAGGGGUCACUAGAACUGACGGUGGAGCGGUGAAAUGCGUAGAUAUCGUCAGGAAUGCCGGUGGUGAAGACGGGUGACUGGGCUGGUUCUGGACACUGAGGCACGAAAGCGUGGGGAGCGAACGGGG